rnacentral:rRNA from 1 species
AUACGUAGGGAGCAAGCGUUGUCCGGAUUUACUGGGUGUAAAGGGUGCGUAGGCGGCUCUUUAAGUCGGGCGUGAAAGCUGUGGGCUUAACCCACAAAUUGCGUUCGAAACUGGAGGGCUUGAGUGAAGUAGAGGUAGGCGGAAUUCCCGGUGUAGCGGUGAAAUGCGUAGAGAUCGGGAGGAACACCAGUGGCGAAGGCGGCCUACUGGGCUUUAACUGACGCUGAGGCACGAAAGCAUGGGUAGCAAACAGGAUUAGAUACCCUGGUAGUCCAUGCCGUAAACGAUGAUUACUAGGUGUGGGGGGUCUGACCCCUUCCGUGCCGGAGUUAACACAAUAAGUAAUCCACCUGGGGAGUACGGCCGCAAGGUUGAA